rnacentral:rRNA from 1 species
GACGAACGCUGGCGGCGUGCUUAACACAUGCAAGUCGAACGGAAAGGCCCUGCUUUUGUGGGGUGCUCGAGUGGCGAACGGGUGAGUAACACGUGAGUAACCUGCCCUUGACUUUGGGAUAACUUCAGGAAACUGGGGCUAAUACCGGAUAGGAGCUCCUGCUGCAUGGUGGGGGUUGGAAAGUUUCGGCGGUUGGGGAUGGACUCGCGGCUUAUCAGCUUGUUGGUGGGGUAGUGGCUUACCAAGGCUUUGACGGGUAGCCGGCCUGAGAGGGUGACCGGCCACAUUGGGCCUGAGAGACGGCCCAGACUCCUACGUGAGGCAGCAGUGGGGAAUAUUGCACAAUGGGCGGAAGCCUGAUGCAGCAACGCCGCGUGCGGGAUGACGGCCUUCGGGUUGUAAACCGCUUUCGCCUGUGACGAAGCGUGAGUGACGGUAAUGGGUAAAGAAGCACCGGCUAACUACGUG